GCCUCGGUGGUCUAACUGGUAAGGACUCUCACGGAAUAUAAGAGAUUCGGGUUCGACUCUCGGCCGAGGUA
rnacentral:tRNA from 1 species